GACGAACGCUGGCGGCGUGCCUAACACAUGCAAGUCGAGCGGCAGCAGGCUGGUUCCUUCGGGAACCGGUGCUGGCGAGCGGCGAACGGGUGAGUAACGCGUGGGUAACCUACCCCAAAGACCGGGAUAACUCGCCGAAAGGCGGGCUAAUACCGGAUACUCUCACCUUCUCGCAUGAGGAGGUGAGGAAAGGUUCUGCUUUUAGCGGAUUCCGCUUUGGGAUGGGCCCGCGUCCCAUUAGCUAGUUGGUAGGGUAAAAGCCUACCAAGGCUACGAUGGGUAGCCGGCCUGAGAGGGUGUCCGGCCACACUGGGACUGAGACACGGCCCAGACUCCUACGGGAGGCAGCAGUGGGGAAUUUUGGGCAAUGCCCGCAAGGGUGACCCAGCAACGCCGCGUGGGGGAUGAAGGCCUUCGGGUCGUAAACCCCUGUCAGGAGGGACGAAGCUCCGACAUUAUGUCGGGGUGACGGUACCUCCAGAGGAAGCCCCGGCUAACUACGUGC
rnacentral:rRNA from 1 species